rnacentral:tRNA from 1 species
AGUAAGGUCAGCUAAAUAAGCUCUCGGGCCCAUACCCCGAAAAUGUGAGUUAAACCCCCUCCCUUACUA